rnacentral:rRNA from 1 species
GCAGGAGGAAUACAUCUGAAAGGGUGUAGCUCUACGGAGUCUUCUGCGAGGUGCUGCAUGGUUGUCGUCAGCUCGUGCCGUGAGGUGUCGGCUUAAGUGCCAUAACGAGCGCAACCCUUAUCGACAGUUGCCAACAGGUUAAGCUGGGAACUCUGUCGAGACUGCCGGCGCAAGCUGAGAGGUAGGCGGGGAUGACGUCAAAUCAGCACGGCCCUUACGUCCGGGGCGACACACGUGUUACAAUGGCGGCCACAGCGGGAAGCCAGGCGGCGACGCCGAGCGGAACCCGAAAAGCCGUCUCAGUUCGGAUUGGAGUCUGCAACCCGACUCCAUGAAGCUGGAUUCGCUAGUAAUCGCGCAUCAGC